rnacentral:lncRNA from 1 species
UAUCUGAUCUAGCCUAACAUUAUCGUUGCAACUAUUUAUUCUCUUAUUAUCUGUUAUUGCCAACUUUUAAUAUAUUUUCAUGAUAAAUGAAUGUUUUCUAUGAUACAUUUGAGUUUUGAAAAAAAAAAUAAAGUAAAAAAAGCAACCUGUAGAGAGCGCAAUUAAAACGAACAGACCGGCACUUCCGUUUUUGCAAUGCACACCGCAUGCGCAACAGCUCAUAAAAAGCCACCUUUAAGUCAUACAUAUAACGACCUGUCAGUAUAACAGCUUUCACGUCGGUCGGGUGUAGUAGUGAGAGUUUCGAGUCCAAAGAUUCGUGAGCGUAUAAAUUUCGCUACGUGUUAUCGCAGUAUAUAUAUAUAUAUAUAUAUAUUUCGGCUGCUGCAAAACCCCGUGUCCGCUAUGAACGUGCUGCGAAUCUCCGUGCCGUGGCGAGACGACACGGGAGAGCGCGUACUCCAAUGAGCCAGCCGCCGUAAUGAGAACUGAUCGUCGCCGCCGUCGUCGCCGUCGCCGCCGCCGCCGCCGCCGUCUCCACCGAGUGCUUGUUCUUGCUUUUCGUCGUUCAACCUACACUCUUCCGUCUACGCAUCCAUCUGUGGUCCUUGAUAUUUAGCCGUGCGGUAGUGUUUAUAAGGACGAUGCCCUGCAUGGCAGAGCAACAUCGUUAAUGCGUGGCGUCUCCCCUCGGUUAGCACGCGUAUCUGGCAGUGCUUGGUUCAUGGAUUCCGCGUGAGAGAAUAGACUAUAGAGAGAGAGAGUGUGUGUAUCAGGCAGAGAGAAAGAGAGAGAAAUCUUGGAGACAAACCGACGUGCGUCGUCUAUUGCGUGGGACACCUUGCGAUCUAGAAGUGAGUAAGAAGCGAGUCUACUUGCUCUCGCAUGAUAUUGUAUGCAGUUACACGCUCUCUUUCAAAGUAGAGAGAAAGAGAGAGAAGGAGAGAAAAAGAGAGAGCGAGUAAUCAUGCGAGUAAUUACGCGCCGUGUGUGACGCGCGUUUCAAGGUUGACACAUGUCGAGCUUGGUCGUAUAAUAAUAAGAGUGAAGAAAAGGCCAGGCGAGCAGCACGGCGAUAGAUACAGAAUGGAAUAAAGCGGGAUGGGAAUACUCGCGUUCGACAUUGCAUUCGCGAUGCGUUGCGUCGCGCUGCACUAUUUUGUGUUUCGCAAUAAUGAGUUUAUUCAUCUCAGCUGCACUACGUUAUACAUCUUUCUGCAGUAAGCUCAUAUUCAGUCAUUGGUGAAAAAAAAAGAGUAAAUAUGCACAACAGUAAAAAUUAAAAGACGACCUGAUAGAGCUAUUUAUUUAAAUUAUAUUUCAAAUGUCAAAAUGGGUUAAGUUUGGACUUGAAGACAAAGUGCAGAAAGUACAACUGCGAUCUGUAGAUGCAAUAUACGCUGCAUCUGAGAUACGCGUUGCAUGUCGUGAAAAUUAUAAAAUUAUUCGAUUUCUGAAAAGGAAAACAACUCGGCAUUCGAGUUUGACCAUGCACAGAGAACUGCAUAGCGACCAUGAGUUCUCACAGAGUCGGAAUUAAUUAAUUAAAUGUCAGUCGCUGUCCUUUUCUAUGCGGUCGCGAUCCCACCUAUGUAAUCUAGACAGAAAAAAAAAGUCGGUCGACCGGAAUUGGCGGUAAUCGACGUCGGUGGCCGCGCCGCGCACGAGCGUCGCAGAGAGCGAGUCGGACUUGCUUUCCCCGUGCGCGCACUGCGAUACUGCGAUUAAACUGUGUAUGCGAGACGAGGAUGUGCCCCGAGAUGGUUCGUGAGCAUUCCAUAGUUAUAAAUAAAUCAAAAGAGUGAAAUAAAAAAUAUGUCGAAAAGAA